rnacentral:rRNA from 1 species
UACAGAGGUCUCAAGCGUCGUUCGGAUUCAUUGGGCGUAAAGGGUGCGUAGGUGGCGCCGUAAGUCAGGUGUGAAAUUUCGGAGCUUAACUCCGAAACUGCAUUUGAUACUGCGGUGCUUGAGGACUGGAGAGGAGACUGGAAUUUACGGUGUAGCAGUGAAAUGCGUAGAGAUCGUAAGGAAGACCAGUGGCGAAGGCGGGUCUCUGGACAGUUCCUGACACUGAGGCACGAAGGCCAGGGGAGCAAACGGG